GGAGCGCCGCGCUUCGCGUCGCGGCGCGGGGCGGGGGGAUGGCGGCCGCCGCGGUGCCGGGCUCGGGGACGGCGCGGCGGCGGCGCGGAGGGACGGGCCGGGCGUAGGCGGGGCGGGCAUGGAGGAGAGCGAGGUGCCGAGCAGCAGCGACGCGGCCCCGCAGGCGGCGCGGGAGGAGCCGUCCGAGAGCGGCGUGGGCACCUCCGAGGCCGUGUCCGUCACCGCCGACAGCAGCGACGCCGCCGCGGGCGCCGCGCUCCCGUCCCGGGCGGACGACUCCGGCGUGGGGCAGAGCUCCGACCGCAGCGCCGCGUGCCUGGAAGAGGUGUCUGAGAGCAGCUCCAGCACUGAUGCGGUUCCCCGGGUUUACCUGCCUGAUUCGUCCUCCAUCGCGCAGUCCACGUUGGUCUCCAGCGUCUCCACCGCGAACCAAUCCGUCAUGGUGUCGGAGUCCCCGCAGGUCCUGGUCCACUCCAGCGUCAUCAGCGACGGAGCCACGGUCGUGUCAGACUCCACCGCGUCCACCUCCUCGGAUCUGGGUUCUGCCAUAGACAAAAUCAUCGAGUCCACCAUUGGGCCCGACAUUAUCCAGAAACUUGGGAACGCCACUUCAGCACCAGCCCCGGGUGGGUACCGUGAUGUCCUCUCCUUUCCCUCCCCAGGCUGCAUAGCUGUGACCAGCGCUGAAGAUGGGGGAGCAGAGACGACUCAGUACCUCAUUCUGCAAGGGCCCGAUGAUGGUGCCCCCAUUGUGUCCCAGAUGUCCACUUCUGCGCUGGCCAAUAGCUUGGCGAUAGAAGCUAUUGCUGACGGGCCGACCUCCACGUGCCUUGACCAGCCAGGCCCUUCGGAGCAGGCAGAAGUGCUGGAACUGCCCGCACAGCCGGCCCAGGUUCGAGAGGCAGACGGCGGGGAGGAGCUGGACCAGCCGGACUUGGAGACCCUGGAGGAGAUGAUGGAAGUGGUGGUGGUGCAGCAGUUCAAGUGCAAGAUGUGUCAGUACAAGAGCGUCUCCAAGAAAACGUUGAUCAACCACAUGAAAGAGCGACACUUCCAGCCAGCGGGUUCAGCCUUGGCUUUGAAGAAAGGACGUCCACGAAAGGGGGGUUCUGCUCCAAAGUCUGCGGAGGAAGAGGUCGCAGAGGAGGAAGAAGAUGAUGAUAUUAUGGAUGCUGGUGCUAUCGAUGACCCUGAAGAGGACAGUGAUUAUAAUCCAGCUGAGGAUGAGCCCCGUGGGCGACAGCCCAAGAACAGCCGCACUGUCCCCACGUCCAGCGAGGAGAGGCCACGGAGACGCCCAGGGAGGCCCCGCAAGUUUCCUCGCCUGGGGGACGUGCCUGAAGGAGAGGAGGUGGAGCCCCUGGUGACGUCCCAGAGCACACCCAGCUGCGAGCUGCAGAACUCGGAAGCAGCCAGUUCCUCUGGCCUGGAGAAUGGGACCAACGAGAGCUUGGCGGAGCCCAGCGUCAGCCAGUCUGACUCUGAGAAUAAGGACCCUUCCUCCAACACCGGCCCUGAGGAAGCAGAUGUCGUCCCCAGGAGGCGAGGCCGGCCCUCCCGCCGCUUCCUGGGCAAGAAAUACCGCAAGUACAUGGGGCGCAGGUACUACUACAAGUCGCCCAAGCCCUUGAUGAGGCCGUACCUGUGUCGGAUCUGCGGCUCGCGUUUCCUCACGCACGAAGAUCUGCGUUUCCACGUCAACUCACACGAGGCCAACGACCCGCAGCUCUUCAAGUGUCUCCAGUGCAGCUACCGCUCCCGACGCUGGUCCUCCCUCAAGGAGCACAUGUUCAACCACGUAGGCAGCAAGCCCUACAAGUGCGAGGAGUGCAAUUACACCAGUGUGUACAAGAAGGACGUCAUCCGGCACUCCACUGUGCACAGUCGGGACAGGAAAAAGAGAGCUGAUCCGCCCCCAAAGCUGAACUCCUUCCCGUGCCCUGUGUGCAACCGUAUUUACCCCAUGCAGAAGAGGCUCACUCAGCACAUGAAGACACACAGCACAGAGAAGCCGCACAUGUGUGACAAGUGUGGGAAGUCCUUUAAGAAGCGUUACACCUUCAAGAUGCAUCUGCUGACACAUAUCCAGGCCAUUGCUAACCGCAGGUUCAAAUGUGAGUUCUGUGACUACGUCUGCGAGGACAAAAAGGUCCUGCUGAACCACCAGCUGUCACAUAUGAGCGACAAGCCCUACAAGUGCAGCUUCUGCAAGUAUUCCACCUUCCGGGAGGACUUCCUGGUCUCACACAUGGCCGUCAAGCACACAGGAGGGAAGCCCUUUGCCUGUGAGUUCUGUCACUUCACCACCAAGCACAAGAAGAACCUGCGCCUCCACGUGCACUGCCGCCACGCCGACUCCUUUGAGGAGUGGGCACAGAGGCACCCCGAGGAGCCGCCCUGCCGCCGCCGCCCCUUCUUCACCCUGCAGCAGAUCGAGGAGCUGAAGCAGCAGCACCGCCAAGUGCAGACCCCGGCUGAGCCAGAGGCCAGCCCAGCAGCCCCUCUCGGCCCUGUCACCUACCAGGCGGUGCAGGCGGUGCCUGGGUCGGAGCCUCCUAUCCUUUCUCAGGAUUCUCUGGAGGGGGCCACCAUUAUCUAUGAACAAGGUGUGGAUGGGUCAGCAGAACUGGCCACGCAGACUGCCCUGGAUCUUUUGCUGAACAUGAGUACUCAGCGAGAGCUUGCUGCGGGCUCCCUGCAGGUGGCGGUAGUGAAACCGGAUGAUUCAGGGGAGGUGCAGGCCUCUUGUGAAGCACAGGCACAGGAGGAAGGGACGGAGCUGGAUUCCUCCGAGCAGCAGCAGCAGAAGUUGGUAACGCUGCACAUGGCAGACCGCGGGGAGACGUUGGUGCAGGAGGCUUACGAGGAGGCGGCCCUGGGUGGCUCAGAGCUGCAGCAGAUCACUAUUCCCUUUGGGGGGACAACGGAGUACAGCAUCAUUACACCCAUCAGUGAGGAGAUUCCGGCUCCAGGCACGCUGUACAGUGAGGAGGAGGGCUCUGCAGAGACUUCGCAUGCAGUCGUGGUGAGCGAGGCUGUGAUGACAGAGGUUCUGAAGGACCAUAACAAUCACUACAUCAUGUCAUCCAGCGUCCCAGGGAACCAGUUCCAACACAUGGAGCCCCUCAAUGGAGAUGCUGCCUUCCCUUUGCCGGCAGAGGGUCAGGAGGCACAGCCAACUGGUGUCAAGUGGCCCCUGGUGCAGUGUGUCACUCGGCAGCUCCAGAAGGACUCCAAUUUGUCCCCCACCUCCGAAGGGCAAGAAGUCACAUCCCCCAAGGUCAAAUGGCCUGCAAUCCAAGGCAUGGCCAAAAAGCUCUCGUGCAAGGUUUCCACAGCCAAGAAGCUCUCAUGCAAGAUUUCCACAGCCAAAAAGUUUUCCUGCAAGAUUUGCACAGCCAUGUUUACAGGGAGAGCAGAAAUGGAGAGUCACAAGAGAGCCCACAUUGGGCCCAGCACCUUCAAGUGUCCUGACUGUCCGUUCACUGCAGCCCUCUGGCCGGAGGUUCGGAGCCACAUGGUGCAGCAUGCCAGCCUUCGGCCACACAAGUGCACCCACUGCAGCUUUGCCUCCAAGAACAAGAAGGACCUGCGCAGACACAUGUUAACACACACCAAUGAGAAGCCCUUUGCCUGCCAGAUUUGUGGGCAGAGGUUCAACCGUAAUGGACACCUCAAGUUCCACAUGCAGCGUUUGCACAGCUCAAAGGGGAAGAAGCCAGAGGCGCCUGCAGCUCCUGCCCAGCAGACCAUCAUACUGAACAGUGAUGAGGACACGCUGGCCACCCUGCAGACGGCUCUGCAGUCCGGGCAGGCAGUGCUGGCCCCCGAGCGGCUGCAGCAGGCACUGGGACAGGAGCACAUCAUCGUUGCUCAGGAGCAGAGCAUCGCGAGCCAGGAGGAGGCGACGUACAUUCAGGAGAUCACUACUGCCGACGGACAGACAGUACAGCACUUAGUGACAUCUGACAACCAGGUUCAGUACAUCAUUGCCCAGGAUGGCGUACAGCACUUGCUUCCCCACGAGUACGUUGUUGUCCCAGAAGGACAUCACAUCCAGCUCUUGUCUUCAGGUUCAGGAUGGUCAGAUCACUCACAUCCAGUAUGAACAAGGUAGCCAAUUUCUCCAGGAGCCACAGAUCCAGUACAUGCCUGUCUCACCUGAGCAGCAGCUUGUCACCCAGGCUCAGCUGGAAGCGGCUGCGCACUCAGCAGUCUCAGCAGUGGCUGAUGCUGCCAUGGCUCAGGCACAGAGCGUGUUCGCCACGGAGGCAACGGCUGAGCAGAUCCAGCAGUUGCAGCAGGGAAUCCACUACGAUGUCAUCACGCUGGCAGAUUAGCACUGGUGACAGGCCUGGCUGAUGCUCAGGGACAUCCGUGCUGAGCAGGACAGCGGCAACCAGCGGGAGCCUCUCCAGCCAGCAGUUGCCUUAUUGCUUUGGGGCUACGAGGGACGUGCCUGAGUGCGCGCCAGCAGGGGCGUGCUGCCACUCUGCUGUGCACGGCGAGGGUCCUGCGAGUCCUGCCCGGCACAGGAGGCUGUCCUGAGCAGAGACUGCGCCACAGCCGAAGCGCCGGGACGGUCUGAGCAGCGGCAGCACUCACGUGGCCCAUCUCUGCCUGUUGCACUCGAUGAUGGUUUGAAAUCCCUUUUCCUGAAUCACGAGGAACUCGGCGCCCGCCCCGGUGCGGGGAUCCCGGGGGAGCUGUGGGGCCGAGCGCUGCCACGGGGUGCAGUGUGAGAUGCUGAGGUGUGUUCCGCCUCAGCCCCCCACUCCUCGCUCCCGUGGGGCACACGGGCCGGGCUGAGGGCAGCCUCCCUCCCUUGGCUCCUCCGGCCUGCGGGCGGGCGGCGAUAGGGCUUUGGACUGGAGGAACCUUCCGGAGUCAGAGGCCGUGUAGGUGGUGGAAGAUGUUCUAUUUUUUCUUUGGAAGAGGGAUGGAUGCUGUGGCAAAGUUGGUUUGGAAGUCCUUACGGGAGGGGUUCGAUUCUGACGUUCUCAAGCUUUGACUAUGCUUACGAAUAAAAAAACAGAGGUUGAAA